rnacentral:rRNA from 1 species
AUGAAGCGGAAGCAGAGCGCCGCCGCCGCCGCCGCCGCCGAAGUCGACGCCGACGAGCCCUCCCAGGCCCCGCUGCCCCUCGACGACUACUCGGGCGACGUCUGCGCCGCGCUCACCGCGCGCUACGGCCGCUCCGCCUCCGCGCAGCACCGCCACCUCCUCGCCACCGCCGCCGCCAUCGGCUCCAUCCUCACCGACGACGGGCAUCCCCUCACCGCCGAGUCCUACCUCCCCGCCGUCGUCUCCGCGCUCCGGGCCGCCGGCCCCUCGGACCCCGCCGCCGCCGCCGCCCUCGCGUCCCUCCUCGUCAUCCUCAUCCCCCACAUCUCCUCCCUGCCGCCGGCCUCCGCCUCGGAGCCCGCCUCCUCGCUCGCCGCCUUCCUCGCCUCCCCUGACGCCUCCAAGCUCCCCACCGGCACCGUCCGCUCGGUGGUCAAGUCGCUCGGCCAGUUGGCCCUCCAUCUCGACGCCGCAGCCGAUUGGGGCGCUGUCGCCGCGCCUCUGGAGGCUCUCCUCGCUGCCUCGGUGGAUCAGCGGGCCAAGGUCCGAAGAUGCGCGCAGGAGAGUGUGGAGAAGCUAUUUCCUUACUUGGAGCGUUCCGGUUGUGCGAAGAAAGCUAGCGGCGCUGCAAUUGACUUGUUUGAGAAACACAUUUUGUCGGUGAGAAGUCUUGCCAAGUUGGAUUCAGACGCUUCCGAGGCUAAGGAGACGGAAGCGGUUCAUAUGCUAGGCGCGGUGGCAGUUUUAGUUCCAUAUCUAUCUAAGAAGGCAAGGAAGACGGUUUUCUCGGGUGCUUAUCGGCUAUUGAAACCCCGUUUUAGCCCACUCACAAGGCAUGUCCUCAGGCUUAUGGAGGCCUUGUUGGAGCAUCUUAAGGCUGAGAAUAUUGAGUUGGAGUUGGAGAAGCUCAUCUCCUUAGUGUUGGCUUACCUGCCUUACGAUGAGAAGAAGCCUGAUGAUACCAUCAUCGCAGCAUUACAGCUGAUGAGAAAUUGUUUAGGGAAACUGGCUGGUCGCCCAAAAUUGUGGACAAAGGUUCUUCCGUCUGCAUUCGAGGCAGUUUCAGGAUACCUAAUUCUGGACAGUAAAUGUUCUGAAGAUGUAGCGGAACUGUUAAUAGAGUGCAUCUGUUCUCAUGUCGACCAAAGUAUUUUUGUGACUAAUGAGUCAGGGUGUGAUGCUGAGGAUUCGAGUGAUGGGGCUGCCAUCAAAUCAAUCUGUUUGUCUAUCAACAAAAAACUUAGAAAGUGUGCUUCUCCUCCUCAAAAUGUGUUAAAAAUUGUCCUGGCUAUGUUUCUCAAACUCGGGGGGAGUUCUUAUGUCUUUAUGAAAGAUAUCCUACUAACUUUGUCACGGCUUGGCUCGAAAAUACACAAAGAACCACACCUGAAGAAUGUUGAGGAGUGCAUUGGGGCAGCAAUAGUUGCUAUGGGGCCUGAUAAAAUUCAUUCUCUACUUCCAAUAUCUUUUGAGGAGGCUUGGUUUACAUGCUCAAAUAUGUGGAUUGUACCCAUUUUAAACAAGUAUGUUUAUGGGGCCUCACUGCAACACUUUUUAGAGUACAUUGUACCGCUAGCAAAAUCGUUACAAGAGGCUUCAAGCAGGGCCAAAAAAGCACGGAAAUGUAAGGAAUUGCAAGGUUGGAGUGAUCAAUUGUGGAAUUUGCUUCCUGCCUUCUGCCGCUGUCCGUCUGAUGUAGAUCAGAACUUUGGUUCCUUGUCCAAACUGCUGCUAGAGAUGCUGAAGUCUGAUCGGUGUCUCUACAAAUCCGCUAGUAAAGGCCUGCAGCAACUUAUAGAUGGAACUAGAAGAUUAAGCAGCAGUGAUGAAGAUGUAGAAGUCCCUGCAGAAGUUUCAGCCUUGUUCUCCUCAAAGACUAGUAACUUAAGCUGUGUAAGCUUACAACGGUGCUCUAAAAAAGAUGCUCGUAAAAGCAUGAAAGUCUUGGCAUCACAUUCUGUGGAUCUUCUUUGCACUUUUGCAGAUGAUUUCCUUGAAUCAUCAGAAAAGCGUGCUCAUUUAAAGGAUGCGCUGAGAUCCCUGGCUCAAAUUUCUGGUAGCGCAAACAUCUGUAACCUUUUUCUUUCACUACUUACAAAAUGUGGUUUGGAAGAUACUCCAUCGACACCAGAGAAUCUAGAAUGUGAAGCAAAUGAGGUAGAUGGAAAAGGCGAAGAGAAUACUGAUUCAACAGCGGAGAUAAAUCAUAAGAGGUCUCUACUGAUGGAACUCAUUUCAACACUAGCUGAAGCUGCCGAUGAGGAUGUGCUUGAUUUGUUUUUUGGAUUCAUCAAAUCUUCUUUACUGGAUAGCAUCAAGUCAUGUGAGAGCAAAGCUCUCUUCGCAUUAAGCACAAUUUUGAAGGAACACCAUGAAUAUUCGUUAGCCCAGUUGGAUGAAAUAAUGAUGCUUCUUCAUGGAAUAAAGCCAGAUUCUAACAAUGCAGUUUUAGAAGGUCAAUUAGUAUGCUACAAGUAUCUGUUGGUUCACAUGAUUAAGGUUAAUGAAGAGAGCACAAGCAAGAAGGCAUUCUUGAUUCUAAAUGAGUUAAUACUUGCAUUGAAGUCUAAGAAGGAAAGUAGAAGACUAGCAUACGAUGUACUCCUGGCUAUUAGUACUAGCUUGAGGAGUUCUGAAUUGAAUAACGGAGAUUCAGAUCUUCAACGGCUAUUCACAAUGGUGAUGGGAUAUCUUUCUAGUCCGUCUCCUCACAUAGUGAGCGGAGCAAUAGCUGCACUAUCAUUGCUUAUAUACACUGAUGCUGAUUUCUGCGUGGAAGUUCCAAAUUUGAUACCGUCAGUCCUAGUUCUGCUGCAAAAUAAAGCUAUUGAAGUGAUUAAGGCAUCUCUGGGGUUUGUUAAGGUGUUGGUAACAUCUUUGCAAUCAGAAAAACUGUUGGGUUUGCAAGCAGAUAUCAUGACUGGCAUAUUACCAAUGUCAUCUGUUACAAAGCACCAUUUCAAAGGGAAGGUUAUACUAAUAGUGGAAAUAUUGAUCAGAAAAUGUGGAUUUGAUGCCAUUGACUUGGUUACACCUGAAAAGUACAAGGAGUUCGUUAGAAGUGUUGAAGAGGGCCGCAAGGGGAAUAAUAAUAAUCCAGUAGAUGGUGCACCGUCCGAGGCGAAAGAUCCCGAGCAUCAUGCUCCAAAGAGAGGAAAAUGGGCCGAUUCCAACGCCGAGUCUGGGCAAGAGGAAGCGCCGGCCGGGAAGAAGGAAUUCUUCGUCAAAGGGGCGAGGAAGCCUCACUUCCGGGGCGGCAGAGGCAGAGGCAGAGGCAGAGGCCAGCAGCACGGCAGAGCGUCAGGCGACAGAGGUGGUUUCGGAUCCAGAUCCGAAGCGCAGUCAGGAGACGGCUGGAGCAGCAGAGGCGGCAGGCCACGGGGCCGCGGCACGAGGCCGGGGAACGGCGGGUUCAACAGGGCGCGAGGCCGCGGCGGCGGGAAUGGGAUGGGGGGGCCGGCCAGCCACUCCCCUGGAUUCAAGAAGCCCAGAACCGCGGCGGCGGCGUCAUGA